rnacentral:rRNA from 1 species
AGGGCAAGUCUGGUGCCAGCAGCCGCGGUAAUUCCAGCUCCAAUAGCGUAUAUUAAAGUUGUUGCAGUUAAAAAGCUCGUAGUUGAAUUUCGGGAUCAAUCUAUCGGUCGUGCAAUAGUACGUACUGAUUUCAUUGAUUCCUCCCUUCUGAUGAACUAUGAUGUCAUUAAUUUGGUGUCAUAGGGAAUCAGGACUGUUACUUUGAAAAAAUUAGAGUGUUUAAAGCAGGCUCACGCUUGAAUACAUUAGCAUGGAAUAACGAAAUAGGACGUUUGAUUCUAUUUUGUUGGUUUCUAGGAUCGACGUAAUGAUUAAUAGGGAUAGUUGGGGGCAUUAGUAUUCAAUUGUCAGAGGUGAAAUUCUUGGAUUUAUUGAAGACUAACUACUGCGAAAGCAUUUGCCAAGGAUGUUUUCAUUAAUCAAGAACGAAAGUUAGGGGAUCGAAGACGAUCAGAUACCGUCGUAGUCUUAACCAUAAACUAUGCCGACUAGGGAUCGGAUGAUGUUAAUUUUUUAAUGACUCAUUCGGCGCCUUACGGGAA